GGCGCCCUGGCCCUUCGGUGAUUGGCUGCGGCGCACUCAAGCCCCGCCCCCGGCCUCACGGAGUUUCCAAAACCUCCUGGGGGCGGCAACGCGCCGUGGACCCCAGCCCUUUGUUAGAGCCCAGCUGUAUAAGGGUAUUAUGCGCAGCCGGCGUUCUCCAAGAGCCGAGUCCGAGGCUGUCAGAACUGGAGAGGCCCUUGGAACGCCGCUCCCGUCCCGAGGUUUACCUCGGGGCCACUGGAGCUCAGAGAGGAGACUGACUGCGAAGACCACAAAACAAGUUCGCCUGAGACCUGGGGGGCUAAGUCAAGGCUGAACUGCAGAGGCUACUCCCCUUCUGGUACCCUCAGAGAGAACUCUCAAUAUCCUUUCUACCGAAGUGCUGCCUCAGACCGAAAAAAAGGCGUGUCACCUGACUUCCCCCAAAUGCUGAAGGGUUCUGCUACAACACGGUCCCAGUUUAAGGGCCAGAGGCACGGAUUCACCACCGUAGCUGUUGGCACGUAUCGGCUCGGAACACCUUUCGUCCUUCGUGGAAAGAUUAAAGAACAUACUGUAUUUUAAAUGUCUGA